GAUGAACGCUAGCUACAGGCUUAACACAUGCAAGUCGAGGGACCGGCGCACGGGUGAGUAACACGUAUCCAACCUGCCCUUUACUCGGGGAUAGCCUUUCGAAAGAAAGAUUAAUACCCGAUAUAAAGGAUGGGGAUGCGUUCCAUUAGGUUGUUGGUGAGGUAACGGCUCACCAAGCCUUCGAUUGAUAGGGGUUCUGAGAGGAAGCUCCCCCACAUGGGAACUGAGGCACGGACCAAACUCAUACGGGAGGCAGCAGUGUGUAAUAUGGUGCAAUGGGCGGUAGCCUGAACCUGCCAAGUAGCGUGAGGAAUGAAGGCUUAUGGGUCGUAAACUUCUUUUAUAGAAGAAUAUGUAUUAUAUGAAUAAGGAUCGGCUAACUCCGUGCCAGCCGCCGCGGUAAUUC
rnacentral:rRNA from 1 species